AUGAAGGUGGCGAGGGCCACGGCGAGGAGGACAUCAAUGCCGUGGGCCUCACGGGAGCAAGAUCCGCGCUCGGCCUUGUCCCCGUCGAGUUCCCAUCGUCCGUGGCACAAGCUCUACUCGCGGCCAACCAUAACGGACACCGCUGUCUCUCCACGGAGUGCCACACCGUUGCCGACGCGGUGGGGCACGGCUGCACGGCCGGGGCGCUCGGGCUCCGCCCCUUCCUCGGCACACCCGCCCGCUUCCUCGUGGGCUCCAUCUCGGGCGCGACUGGUCUCCGAGGCAGAGUCAUGGUCGGCGCGCUCGACAUGGGAGAUGGAGACGGCGAGGGCGAGGAGGACGUCACGGAGGAGCUCAGGUUUCAGGAUGCUCAUCGACAUAUACAGGCCGUUCUCCACUUGA
rnacentral:rRNA from 1 species